rnacentral:rRNA from 1 species
AGCAGUCGCCACGUAAUACAGAGGGUGCGAGCGUUAAUCGGAUUUACUGGGCGUAAAGCGUGCGUAGGCGGCUUUUUAAGUCGGAUGUGAAAUCCCUGAGCUUAACUUAGGAAUUGCAUUCGAUACUGGGAAGCUAGAGUAUGGGAGAGGAUGGUAGAAUUCCAGGUGUAGCGGUGAAAUGCGUAGAGAUCUGGAGGAAUACCGAUGGCUAAGGCAGCCAUCUGGCCUAAUACUGACGCUGAGGUACGAAAGCAUGGGGAGCAAACAGGAUUAGAUACCCCUGUAGUCCCUGUCUCUUAUACA